UACGGAGGGGGCUAGCGUUGUUCGGAAUUACUGGGCGUAAAGGGCGCGUAGGCGGCGCGAUAAGUUGGGCGUGAAAGGCCCGGGCUCAACCCGGGGACUGCGCUUGAUACUGUCGCGCUGUGAGUCCGGGAGAGGAUGGCGGAAUUCCUGGUGUAGCGGUGAAAUGCGCAGAUAUCAGGAGGAACACCAAUGGCGAAGGCAGCUCACUGGGACGGUAUUGACGCUGAGACGCGAAAGCGUGGGGAGCAAACAGG
rnacentral:rRNA from 1 species